GCCAAGGCUAUAAAACAGCUGUGAUUAUUUUAAUCUAAUUAAAACACCACUUUGUAAGCGCAGCUAUCUACAGAACGUUACCUAGAAUCAUAAAGCAGAACUGCAAUGAUCACUUUCACCAUAUACCUUCUAAUUAAUCUGUGAUAAUGUUUCAGCAGAUGACUUAUCUGAACAUAAAGAUGCAAAUAAUGACUGGGAAUCCUGUUGGGUCUCUUCCGACAAUGUAACCAGUUCAGCUUGCUGUCCAAAAUAUCUUCUAAGUACCAUUAAGAAAGAAACAUGGUAUG